rnacentral:rRNA from 1 species
CCUACGGGAGGCAGCAGUGGGGGAUAUUGCACAAUGGGGGGAACCCUGAUGCAGCGACGCCGCGUGGGUGAAGAAGCGCCUCGGCGCGUAAAGCGCUGUCAGCAGGGAAGAAAAUGACGGUACCUGAAGAAGAAGCCCCGGCCCACUACGUGCCAGCAGCCGCGGUAAUACGUAGGGGGCAAGCUUUAUCCGGAUUUACUGGGUGUAAAGGGGGUGGAGACGGGGAUGUAAGCCAGUAGUGAAAGCCCGGGGCCCAACCUCGGGACUGCUUUUGGAACUACUUGGCUGGAGGGAAGGAGGGGAAGGCGGAAUUCCUGGUGUAGCGGUGAAAUGCGUAGAUAUCAGGAGGAACACCGGUGGCGAAGGCGGCCUGCUGGACUGUAACUGACGUUGAGGCACGAAAGCGUGGGGAGCAAACAGGAUUAGAUACCCCGGUAGUC